GAUGAACGCUGGCGGCGUGCCUAAUACAUGCAAGUCGAGCGAACGGACGAGAAGCUUGCUUCUCUGAUGUUAGCGGCGGACGGGUGAGUAACACGUGGAUAACCUACCUAUAAGACUGGGAUAACUUCGGGAAACCGGAGCUAAUACCGGAUAAUAUUUUGAACCGCAUGGUUCAAAAGUGAAAGACGGUCUUGCUGUCACUUAUAGAUGGAUCCGCGCUGCAUUAGCUAGUUGGUAAGGUAACGGCUUACCAAGGCAACGAUGCAUAGCCGACCUGAGAGGGUGAUCGGCCACACUGGAACUGAGACACGGUCCAGACUCCUACGGGAGGCAGCAGUAGGGAAUCUUCCGCAAUGGGCGAAAGCCUGACGGAGCAACGCCGCGUGAGUGAUGAAGGUCUUCGGAUCGUAAAACUCUGUUAUUAGGGAAGAACAUAUGUGUAAGUAACUGUGCACAUCUUGACGGUACCUAAUCAGAAAGCCACGGCUAACUACGUGCCAGCAGCCGCGGUAAUACGUAGGUGGCAAGCGUUAUCCGGAAUUAUUGGGCGUAAAGCGCGCGUAGGCGGUUUUUUAAGUCUGAUGUGAAAGCCCACGGCUCAACCGUGGAGGGUCAUUGGAAACUGGAAAACUUGAGUGCAGAAGAGGAAAGUGGAAUUCCAUGUGUAGCGGUGAAAUGCGCAGAGAUAUGGAGGAACACCAGUGGCGAAGGCGACUUUCUGGUCUGUAACUGACGCUGAUGUGCGAAAGCGUGGGGAUCAAACAGGAUUAGAUACCCUGGUAGUCCACGCCGUAAACGAUGAGUGCUAAGUGUUAGGGGGUUUCCGCCCCUUAGUGCUGCAGCUAACGCAUUAAGCACUCCGCCUGGGGAGUACGACCGCAAGGUUGAAACUCAAAGGAAUUGACGGGGACCCGCACAAGCGGUGGAGCAUGUGGUUUAAUUCGAAGCAGCGCGAAGAACCUUACCAAAUCUUGACAUCCUUUGACAACUCUAGAGAUAGAGCCUUCCCCUUCGGGGGGGCAAAGUGACAGGUGGUGCAUGGUUGUCGUCAGCUCGUGUCGUGAGAUGUUGGGUUAAGUCCCGCAACGAGCGCAACCCUUAAGCUUAGUUGCCAUCAUUAAGUUGGGCACUCUAAGUUGACUGCCGGUGACAAACCGGAGGAAGGUGGGGAUGACGUCAAAUCAUCAUGCCCCUUGUGAUUUGGGCUACACACGUGCUACAAUGGACAAUACAAAGGGCAGCGAAACCGCGAGGUCAAGCAAAUCCCAUAAAGUUGUUCUCAGUUCGGAUUGUAGUCUGCAACUCGACUACGUGAAGCUGGAAUCGCUAGUAAUCGUAGAUCAGCAUGCUACGGUGAAUACGUUCCCGGGUCU
rnacentral:rRNA from 1 species